rnacentral:lncRNA from 1 species
GGUGUUGCUAUUAGUAUCGCUGUUGGUGGUGGGGUUCUUGGGAAUAAGAGGGCGUAAACGCUUGCAGAGGCCGAGCGUGAGGGAGGGUUCGUGCUGCUGAUCCCAGCUGAUUAAUCCACGUGCGAACUGAUGCACCUUCAUGCUUCCUCCCAUUAAGGUAUAAGCUUUAAUGUUGAUAGAGAAAUGGCAAUUAUAUAGACCAAGGCUGAGUGUGUAGUACUAGUACUACCACUCCAAAGUUAAAAGACACUAAGUGGGAA